CCAGGCUUAUCACCUGAGAGCUGAGGGCCCUCAAGCGAUAACAGAAUAACACUGGUACGGCCGUGUAAUCACGGGUUCACAUUUAUUCUGGAAUAGAACAAGAGAAUGCUUUGACAUCUAAGGUUGAGUUCUAUAUUAGUCAAAAGAUAAAAGUUUGAAAGUCCUCGAUUCAGUGGUUGAAAUUGUUGUGUGCCUGUCCCCUGACGAGUGUGAAAUUAAAUAAAGAGGGAAUUUGGAGCCACAUAGAGAUAGACGGGCAUAAUUGGGUGUAUUACUCUGUGGUGUAAUAAAAAAAAAAAAAAAAAAAAAAGGGAGAGAGAGAUAGUAAGAGGUGUGUAGUGGAGAAUUAUUGAGAAGCAGAGAGAGGAAUGUGUUGGGAGACUGGCGUGCAGUUUGCGCUGUCAAGGUGGGCGUGUUGCCUGCUUAUCUGUUUAACAGUGAUGAAAAUGAAAUUAAAUAAAUCUCUUAGUGUGUUAAUACAGGAAGCUACGGACCUGGACCAACUGCCCCCACAAGCACAGCGGCCGAAGCAAAAUUAUAGUAAUGGGAACCACACCCAGCAAGAAUCAGCAGCUGUGAAACAGACAGCAGCAAGGAGAGAAUUAGAGGAGAAAUUAAGAGAAGUUUUAACACAAAAUUGGGGCCAACAGACUUGUGGAGGUUGGGAAGGCGUCCGGAGCAUCACAACAAGAGGUGAAACAAAAACACACACGAGCAGAGAAAUGUGAGAGAAAGGCUCCUUUUAAGGUAACGCCUAGUUUGAGAAAAAGUUAAAAUUAACCUGCCUACAAAUGCACACACAUGCAAUGAAAAAACAGCUUACACUCAUGAACAUGUGAAGAUUUUCCAGCAAGGUUAAAGCAGCAAAAAUUAACAUACACCUGUUUUUUAUUUUUUGUUAAUGAUGAAGUUUAUCCAUUACUAACAAAUAAACCCUCUAGAUUGCAGGACAACAAUUUAGCUUCAAAGAAAAAGAAAAUAAAGAGACUGGUAUGACCAACUAGUGAUGAAAUAACAAAUUUAGUGGUUAAGAGUCAAAUUGUGAGAUGUUUUCUGAUGAUUGAACAACACAAGUGAUUACUGACGGAAAGAAAAUUCUCUUUUGUGAGUUUAAACAUGAUCUUAAGAAUUUGAACAUGUGCAGGUUGUCCUGUCAACUUGGUGGGUUAUGAGUUGAUUAUAUCGUGAAAAAAAAAAAAAAAAAAAAAAGAAAGAAAGAAAAGGGGGAGAGAAGGCUGACACAGGGCCUGGCCCGGUGUUUCUCCCCUCGUUGUAACACAGCCAACACAACAUCAUUUUCCUGUUUGUACACUUUGGUUUGUUUUUGUUUUGUUUUGUUUUGUUUUUUGUUUUUUCUCUUUAUGUUUAAUUACAGGCUGCUUUGCUGGCCCUGAAAGCCGAGGCUGACCUGGACUCCUGCUCUCCCCUCUACGUGACCCUGACCAAAUGCUGCAACAGCUGGACCCACAAUAACAACCUGAAAAUGUCAGUGCUGCAGGAAUGCGAUAUCAUGCAGCAGAGACGGAGAGCACUAAACCUAAGGCCCGUUUCACUACACGGGGGAAAAUUCCCAGACUGCGUCAGCUGACAGAGCUGUGACGAGACGCCUGCCAAGCCCGAAUGAAAAAGAGAGGAACAGACACCAGACGGGGACACGGAGAUAUGAGGACCCUUCACAGCAGAGACAGACGUAGGGACUCCCGAGACAGCAACUGGGGUCAAGUGUCAUGGCGUUUGGGCUCCUUGAGAAGAUGGAUCCCAUAAACACAGCAAUAACCAUGAAGGGGUUGGCCAAAAUCUAGGAACACCAGACCAACGAGGUUCGAG
ensembl:lncRNA